AAAGCCCCGCCCCCCGCGCGUUGCCGGGAGACGGCGCCCAACCUUCCUCUGCAGCGCCCCUACCGACCCGCGCUCCGCAGCUCCUGAGGGCUUUCGAGCCCAGAUGGUCAUCUGAGACGAGAGGUGGCGGCGAAGGAGAGUCUCGCCUGUCACGCUCCCGGAGCAGGGGCUUCAUGAGGUGGCCAUGGAAACAGCCUGGCAGACUCCCAUCUCUCCUGGUGCCAUCUCCGGAGCGGAAAGUGGAGCGCCCCGCUGGCGACCAAGGCCGCACUGAGAGCCCUGGUUUGGUCAACAGUUGGGCUCCAAGGAGCCCUGGUAUUCCUUGAACAUGCAUACCUUUCCCAGCGUGAGGGACAUGGACCGUGCCGUGCGAGGGACCCCAUCUUCUGCAGCAGGAGGGAGCAGAGAAGAGAACACAGCCACCCUCAUCAGCCAGAGUUCAAACCCUGACAGUGCCCAUGGAGAGAUCUGGUCCAAGGCACCAACCUCUUCCUGCUGGACUGAGAAAGAGCCUCCUACUGUGUCUCUCUUUACCUCAGCUUUUGCACACCUCCAAUAUAUUGUCCACUGAAGUCAGAAUAAUCUAAAAAUAAAGGCUGAUUACCUCAUGUGGUAUAAACUUA
rnacentral:lncRNA from 1 species